GACUAUCUUACUUACGUCAUGUUUGGGGUUUUAAUGAAUGAAUGAAUGAAGACCUUUAUUGUACAAUUUUGCCCAACCGAGCUAAGUACAGGUCACAAUAAGUCAGGAUAUAUACAUAUAAAAGUGUCACAAAUCUAGUGCAAGUUUGGUGCCAGCAGCCGCGGUAAUUCCAGCUCCAAUAGCGUAUAUCAAAGUUGUUGCGGUUAAAAAGCUCAUAGUUCAUGUAGUUGCAUCUUGGGACCGGGGCUUAAUUGCGGUCCGCCGCGAGGCGUGUCACUGCUCGUCCCGGCCCUCCCCGCCGGAUUCUCCUUGGUGCUCUUAACUGAGUGCCUCGCGGUGCCGAAGCGUUUACUUUGAAAAAAUUAGAGUGUUCAAAGCAGGCCUGGCGCCUGAAUAGUGGUGCAUGGAAUAAUGGAAUAGGACCUCGGUUCUAUUUCGUUGGUUUUCGGAACGUGAGGUAAUGAUCAAGAGGGACGGACGGGGGCAUUCGUAUUGCGGCGGGAGAGGUGAAAUUCAUGGAUCGCCGCAAGACGAACCACUGCGAAAGCAUUUGCCAAGAAUGUUUUCAUUGAUCAAGAACGAAAGUUGUGGGCGCGAAGGCGAUCAGAUACCGCCCUAGUCACAACCAUAAACGAUGCCAACCAGCGAUCCGCCGGCGUUACUUCGAUGACCCGAUGGGCAGCUCCCGGGAAACCCGAGUUUCUUCACUGUCCAUUUUGUAACCUUUCUACCGUACGCUCAGUU
rfam:Branchiostoma floridae genomic scaffold BRAFLscaffold_201, whole genome shotgun sequence.